GCGACGGGUGAGUACACGUGGGCAAUCUGCCCUUCACUCUGGGACAAGCCCUGGAAACGGGGUCUAAUACCGGAUACCACUACCGCAGGCAUCUGUGGUGGUUGAAAGCUCCGGCGGUGAAGGAUGAGCCCGCGGCCUAUCAGCUUGUUGGUGAGGUAGUGGCUCACCAAGGCGACGACGGGUAGCCGGCCUGAGAGGGCGACCGGCCACACUGGGACUGAGACACGGCCCAGACUCCUACGGGAGGCAGCAGUGGGGAAUAUUGCACAAUGGGCGAAAGCCUGAUGCAGCGACGCCGCGUGAGGGAUGACGGCCUUCGGGUUGUAAACCUCUUUCAGCAGGGAAGAAGCGAAAGUGACGGUACCUGCAGAAGAAGCGCCGGCUAACUACGUGCCAGCAGCCGGGAUUAAUACG
rnacentral:rRNA from 1 species